rnacentral:RNase_MRP_RNA from 2 species
UUGAAUAUUUCAUGCUUGUCACUCGGAGCCACACACGAGUUCUUGGUAACUCUCUGCGGAAAGGCUGACGGUCUUUCAUCACGAUGCUCUGGGGAAAGUCCCCUGGUCUAGUUUAGAAAGUAGAACGGCGUAGUAAAAAGUGCCUUUAAAUGUUAGAGGUAUUCGCCUAUAUUUCGCGGAAAUCCGCCGAAAUUCAAUUAAGAGUUUCUUUGCAAACGAAUAAUAUGGAUUUCGGUGUCCGUGGAAAUGUGCCAGUAAAGUUGAGUUAUUGACAAGUUGUCGUUGUAUGCGUCUAGAGCGCACAUUGAUGACAACACUCAAAGGGGCUUACUUUGAAAAGUUCA